GGGAUGGAAAAGAUUCGGCUCCUACUGCUACUUUGUUGGAAGUGAGACAAAAACCUUCGAUGAAGCCAGGAUUACCUGCACAAACUCACAUUCCUACCUGGUAGAUGUUUCAACAAGAGUGGAUAAUGCUUUCCUGACCAGCUUGGUGGGCCUCAGACCAGAGAAACAUUUCUGGUUGGGACUUUCAAACCAGAGAGACAUCGAUGUUUUUGUGUGGACCAACACAAGGGAGGUCAGAUUUACUCACUGGAACGCUGAAAUGCCAGGGGAUCGACAGGGCUGUGUUGCUCUGGCAACCGGGCAUCGUGCUGGUCUCUGGGAUGUUCUCCCUUGUUCCAAUAAGGAAAAGUAUAUCUGUAAACAGCUGGCAAAAGGAGCUGCUGUAACCGACCGCCCAACCACAGCUCCAACCCUGACAUGUGCAGAUGGCUGGACUAAAGUGCCAUCAAGAAACUUCUGCUCCAAGGUAAAGAGAACACCUUUAAUGAAGUC